rnacentral:rRNA from 1 species
UACAGAGGGGGCAAGCGUUGUUCGGAAUUACUGGGCGUAAAGGGCGCGUAGGCGGCCUCUUAAGUCGAACGUGAAAUCCCCGGGCUCAACCCGGGAACUGCGUCCGAUACUGGAAGGCUUGAAUCCGGGAGAGGGAUGCGGAAUUCCAGGUGUAGCGGUGAAAUGCGUAGAUAUCUGGAGGAACACCGGUGGCGAAGGCGGCAUCCUGGACCGGCAUUGACGCUGAGGCGCGAAAGCCAGGGGAGCAAACGGG